UUAAAAAGCUCGUAGUUGGAUUUUGGUUAAGAGGGCGCGGUCGGCCGUUUGGUCUGUACUGCGUUGUCUUGACUUCCUGAUGAGGACAUGCUCUUGGUUAACGCUGAGACAUGGAGUCAUCGUGGUUACUUUGAAAAAAUUAGAGUGUUCAAAGCGGGCUUACGCUUGAAUAUAUUAGCAUGGAAUAACACUAUAGGACUCCUGUCCUAUCUCGUUGGUCUCGGGAUGGGAGUAAUGAUUAAGAGGAACAGUUGGGGGCAUUCGUAUUUCAUUGUCAGAGGUGAAAUUCUUGGAUUUAUGAAAGACGAACUUCUGCGAAAGCAUUUGCCAAGGAUGUUUUCAUUAAUCAAGAACGAAAGUUGGGGGCUCGAAGAUGAUUAGAUACCAUCCUAGUCUCAACCAUAAACGAUGCCGACUAGGGAUUGGUGGAUGUUAAUUGAUGACUUCACCAGCACCUUAUGAGAAAUCAAAGUUUUUGGGUUCCGGGGGGAGUAUGGUCGCAAGGCUGAAACUUAAAGGAAUUGACGGAAGGGCACCACCAGGCGUGGAG
rnacentral:rRNA from 1 species